GAAGUCCGCCUGCGGUUGUAAAUGCACUGCUGUUUGAAGCUGGCGCCAGAGGUGGCGGGAAGCUACAGCUGCGCGCCCAUUGGGCCGCCUUGUUUCCUGUUUCCCUGCGGUGGAGACGCACGCUCACCAGCUGUCACUCACCGUGCACGCGGCUGUCCUCGGUGUCCUCUGGAAGGCGUACGUUAACCCGCCCUGACAGCGCCUGCCAGCCCAGUGGACGCACAGCAGCAGGUCCAACCAUCCUAUAACCCUUUCCCCCGUGCCCUGUCACGCAGCUCCCCAUCUGGCCGGUCUAACUUUGCCUCCCACCGCCGCACCCCAUGAUGCCUACCCUGCGCCCUAACCAGGCCCUUAAUCCAGGGGAACGGAGUGAAUGAAACCACAGGCUGCCGAGAGGCCCGGGAACUUUCUCUCCCAGGCAUGGCCCUCCCGACCUCACCUCUCCACCUGCUCAGGCUUCCGAGGAGCACACCCUUCCUCCGCAGUCUUCCCUCGCACACUCCACCUCCUUGGAAGACACAAUCCUCCCUGCCUCCGUACAGUGUCCGUCCUGGUAUGGGAUGGGAGGGCCAAUGUGCCUGUCACGGUAGUUACUGCACAUGCACCCCACUCAGUAGACAGAGGGAACAUCUCCAAGAGGCUUCCUUACUCUGCUUCUUAGCCAGCUCCUGCCUAGCAUGCCUUGUUCCCUGGGAGGCACUCAAAGCAAUUGUGAGAAACUGUGCUAAAUGAGUAAAUGAAUGAAGGAACAAAUAAAUGAAGACUACUGGGGCCAGGAAAAGCAAAUGAAAGGAUUCAAGUAAAUGGCACUCAUUGAACCUGAGGGAAGGAUCUGUUAGUGAGAACUAGCCUCAGGCAAUCUCCAUAACCACAGCAGUCCCUCAGCAAACUGAGUCCAGGGUCCACUUGUGCAGAGGACUGUGAAGAGUGCUGCAAUGAGAACACUAACUGACGCUGGCCACAAGCAACUGCUUCUCAGAAAGAUCAAAGCAGAGAAUCCCUUCCUAGUGCAGCACAGUUUGGCCCUGCCAACACCCACCCGGUGGCCUCCUGCUCUCCCAGCCUCUGCGCCGGGCCCAGCCUGGGACUGACUGCCUCACCUGGCCGCCUGCCCUCAGCUCAGCCUCGGAUGGCCGCUCACACCUGUGUCCUGCAUGGGCCCCUGCUGUCCUGGACACUGAACCUUGGACACCCGCACCGCAGGAGUGACCUGGCCUCUCAUUUCCCCCACGGAAUGUUCCAGGUUUGACCUGUGUCUGGGCUGUGCACCCCACAAGCCCCGCUCUGUCCCAGCCGCCACCUCAUGCCUGCCACACGAGGUGUGGAUGAUGUGUUGGCUUCGAGGCUGAGGGAGUGCACUUAGGGUGUGAGCUCCAGGAAGGGCUGCUCUGCUGCCGGCUGAAAACAGCUCUGGGCCCUCCUCUGACCCCCAGCCCAAGAAGGAGAAGGGCCGGCCUCAUCCUGGAUGCCACACUGAGGCACACAGUGCUAUGAGUCCUGGGCAUCAGUGUAGAAGCCCGAGAGGAUCCCCGGUAGAGAAGCCCAGCAGGAAGACUGCAGCUCGCUGCUACCCCUCUGAGCUCCCUCGCUGUGGGGGGCUCUUUUCUGUCCCCCUCCACAGGUGGGACAUCCCGAGGAGAGGGCUCCAUAGGAUGCCACGUUUAUUUGCGUAUUUUGCAACAUAUUACAGUUUCCACUUGCCGAGUUAAAUGCAUCUGUGAGUUAUGUCACCUACUUUAGGCCUCUCGCUGUCACAAACAUAACGCAGUAGGAAGAUCACUGCCAAGAAGUCAAGGACUAAACAGAGGCCUUUUGCUCUCAGUACCAGCUUCUCCUCUGCUGCAUUAUUGUAACUGAGAGGUUCAAAGCAUCUUUCAAACCUGGAUUUGUUUUUUUGAUUUUGGGGGGGGUUUUGGUACCGGGGAUGGAACUUGGGUCCUUGCGCUUUCGAGGCAGGUGGUGGCACCACUGAGCUAAAUCCCUGGCCCUUUUUUUGUUUUUUUUAAAGAGAGACUGUUUCUCCCAGCCCGCACCCCCACCCCAGGUGUGAACAGCCACGCCCAGGCCGGACUACAGGAGGAUGAGGAAUUUUGGCCCUGGGAAUGUCCCAGGCACACCUGCAGCUCUUGCACCACCUCUCUGGGAACCACAGCACUUCUGGGCAGCCCACAGAGGGUGGACCAGCUGUCCUCUCCUCCAGCCACGUCGUAAACACCCUCAUUUUCCCACUUCCCUGGGCCUCUCUGAACUUGGUUUCAGGCAGGCCGAGGAAGUCAGUAACCCAGACAGCCAGGCCGGGGCAGGCCUGACGGAGCCCUCUCCGGGAACACGACGGAGUUACAAACAAGCACGAGCUCAUCAGAUGCAAACUUUGCCUCCCAAAGUUAUAAUUUCCAAGACUGAAAAUGUAGAUUUAUGUUUCUCUUCCUUAUCAGUAAAUACACCGGGACUUGAGAUGUUAUCUCACGAUAGCAUCAGGUAUUCUGAUUAGUAAGACUUUUAAAAGUGUUUAUCUCAACUCCAACUUUAAAUUUUCCAUACUUAUAACAGAUGUACGAUCGAAUAAUCAUUAUUUAGAGUACCUGCUCAUAAACAUUUACUGAAAGGGGAAUAUGACCAAAAGUGCUUCCACGGGGCUGAGUUCUCCUUCCACACAACUCUUUAACAGCUAAAUCCUGGAGGCAGCCCAUGUGUCCAUCAGCACGGACACAGAAUAUCAGAAUGUAUAAAGAAAAUGUACCAUUUAACACAAUGGAGCACUACUCUGCCAUAAAGAAGGAUAAACUUGAGUUAUAUGUAGGAAAAUGGAUGCAAUUUGAGACCAUAAUGUCAAGUGAAGCAGAUCAGAUGCACAAGCUU